UACAGAGAGUGCAAGCGUUAAUCGGAAUCACUGGGCGUAAAGCGCGCGUAGGUGGAUAUCUAAGUCAGAUGUGAAAGCCCUGGGCUUAACCUAGGAACUGCAUCUGAUACUGGAUGACUAGAGUAUGGUAGAGGGAAGUGGAAUUUCCGGUGUAGCGGUGAAAUGCGUAGAUACCGGAAGGAACACCAGUGGCGAAGGCGACUUCCUGGACCAAUACUGACACUUAGGUGCGAAAGCGUGGGGAGCAAACAGG
rnacentral:rRNA from 1 species